CACAAAUAUAUAUCACGUCGAACGAGGGUGCAACCACAGACAUUUUAAAUUUCCCCCCAAAAUAUCCGGAUUGGCCUCCACGUUGGGAAACACUGAUCUAAUAAAUAGCGAUACGCGUGCUGAAGCCACGCCGUCAGUAUUGCAUACACAUGGGAGGAGGAGCGUGGCAUUAACCGCGGACGCGGCCUAGAAUGCGUUACAAAGCGUUCGAUCGGAUUAAGCGGCUAAUAGCCAGUCUAUAAUAAUAAUCCCGACAUAAUAACGUGGUAUUACGCGAAGGAUCGGGCUACACCGUAUAAUUUCGUCGCGGCGUGGUCGCACCCAACCGCCAAAAGGGCUAACCUAAAUCUCGGUUUCGUACCUUGCUCGAGAAAGAAGAUGAUGAUCGGCUAUCGCUGCCAAAACCGAUUAGCCAUCGAUUUUAAAGUCGAUCGCACACAGCCUCUCUCGACUCGUCGAUUAUUUUCUUUAAUAUCUUCCUCGUUGAAAUAAGUUUCGAAUAAAGUUGUUGCGUUACUUCUUCUAUUGGCUUAUCGUCUUUUGGUUGGAAGAUAAACGUGGUAUGUGAUUAAAAGAAUCUUUAAUUCGAUUCGAUUAAAAUUUAUUGGAAAAACAAUUUUAUACACCGUUUGUGAAACGGAUGAAAAGAGCGAAAAAACGAAAAGGAGGAUUAAGGAUAGAAACUCAAUUUACGUUUAAUCAAUUCGAGGAGUUCGAAGGGAGUACAAAGGGAUAUCGAGGAAAGCGCGAAAUGCAAAAGGGCGGGGGAAGAAGGGGGGGAGUAAAUCGAGGGAGAAAGGAAAAACGGUGGAAUAUUUCUUAUGGUGCCUCGAGAAUUCUCGAUGGGACACGUGUGUUCGAAAUUAUUCGAAUAAUUGGAAUAUUUCUCAUCGAGGAUCCUCGACGACGGAAUUCGGAAGAAGAGUCAACGAUUCUGGCAACGCGUUGAAUAUCCAUUGGUUCGAAGAUUCGUUGGCCGAUUCUCAGUCGUCUAACUUGCAUCUCUCGGCUGCCUUUUCGUUUUUACGAUCUUACUCCUGCUCGCGGUGUUCCAUUCUUCUUACUCUUGUUCGAGACGUUGUACGUAGGCCUGGACGGAUUCUGGUUUUCCUUCGGAUAGGUGAAGUAGCGAUGGGAUUAAGCGCGUCGCAAGUUGACGAACAAGAUUCGAAUCUUUUGUAGGUAAUUUUUGAUUGUAGAAAGUAAUUCCAAGUGGAAUGGAUUCGGUGAUUCUUCCAUUUAAAAUCAAGUUUUUUAUAUAUUUGUGACAUACGAUGUCUUUAUUUCCAAAUAUUUAAGAAUUUCCAUUUUCAAAAGAUAUUGAUAAAAAUCUACUAAAUUAAAUAACUAAUAAAUUUAAUCUUCUGUAUUCUAAAACUUCACUCGUCGAAUAUUCUAUCAAUCUUGAAAGGAUCGACUUGUACAAUAUAUUUUACCAACAAACUUUCGAAAAAUCGAAAAUAUUCUCAAAUGAAAAGUUGACGCGAAUCAAUCGUUCUCUCGAUUUUUCUAUAAAGAUAAUCAUCAAGAUUUCGCAGAACACUCGGAAAGAAGUGAAUUUUUUUCAUUAAAUUCGAGUUUGAUCCCAUCGCUAGGUGACAAAGACAGGUCGAGGACCACGCAGAACAGAAUCUUUCGUUCGAUGUUGUCGCGACACUCCUCCGGCCGUCUCGACGAGUUAGUUGCUCUCAGUCUGUCGUCUUAUCGCCGUGACAUCGGCAAGAGAAUUAUUAUCGAACUCGAUCGGCACGAGGGGAAUUUAUUAAAAGCUGACCGGUGCACCGAUCGCUAUUUACUUCUCCGUUUAUUAGAUUCGUUUUUAUCGUUGGAUAUUGACUCUGACUACUUCGAUUUAUCUAUAGAAUUCUCGAGAUCUCCGUGUCCGGAUAAGAGCAUAAAUACGAGCCUAUUACUUAACUCUUACUUUACGUGAAACACGUGAAGAAUGAGAUAUUUUUUUAUUGUUAAAUAUUUUCCAAAAGAAUGUGAAAUCUUUAUAUAUAAUUUCUGAUAUUCUCGCUAAUUAUUAUUAAUAUCGUUUUAAAAGAAUACAGAUUUAUAUUCUUAUGAGGUGUCUCGAAAAUAUGAGAACUCGAUUAUUUUCCUCUGCAAAAAUAUUUCAUUUUGUUGGCGAGUUUUUGAAAAUGUAUAAAUAUUUUGCUCGUACAUCAUUUGCAUAUACAGAAAUUAAUAAUAAAUAUAAUGUACAAAAAUACAAAAAUAUAUAAAAUGUCUAAAGUAAAUUUAAUAUUUAUGAUUGCAAAAUAAAAUAUAUUUUUACUUGAAUG